rnacentral:rRNA from 1 species
AGUGAACGCUGGCGGUAGGCCUAACACAUGCAAGUCGAACGGCAGCACAGGAGAGCUUGCUCUCUGGGUGGCGAGUGGCGGACGGGUGAGGAAUACAUCGGAAUCUACCUUUUCGUGGGGGAUAACGUAGGGAGACUUACGCUAAUACCGCAUACGACCUUAGGGUGAAAGCGGAGGACCUUCGGGCUUCGCGCGGAUAG